rnacentral:rRNA from 1 species
GAGAGCUUGCUCUCUGAUUCAGCGGCGGACGGGUGAGUAAUGCCUAGGAAUCUGCCUGGUAGUGGGGGACAACGUUUCGAAAGGAACGCUAAUACCGCAUACGUCCUACGGGAGAAAGCAGGGGACCUUCGGGCCUUGCGCUAUCAGAUGAGCCUAGGUCGGAUUAGCUAGUAGGUGAGGUAAUGGCUCACCUAGGCGACGAUCCGUAACUGGUCUGAGAGGAUGAUCAGUCACACUGGAACUGAGACACGGUCCAGACUCCUACGGGAGGCAGCAGUGGGGAAUAUUGGACAAUGGGCGAAAGCCUGAUCCAGCCAUGCCGCGUGUGUGAAGAAGGUCUUCGGAUUGUAAAGCACUUUAAGUUGGGAGGAAGGGCAGUAAGUUAAUACCUUGCUGUUUUGACGUUACCAACAGAAUAAGCACCGGCUAACUUCGUGCCAGCAGCCGCGGUAAUACGAAGGGUGCAAGCGUUAAUCGGAAUUACUGGGCGUAAAGCGCGCGUAGGUGGUUCAGCAAGUUGGAGGUGAAAUCCCCGGGCUCAACCUGGGAACUGCCUCCAAAACUACUGAGCUAGAGUACGGUAGAGGGUAGUGGAAU